UACGUAGGGUGCAAGCGUUAAUCGGAAUUACUGGGCGUAAAGCGUGCGCAGGCGGCUAUGCAAGUCAGAUGUGAAAUCCCCGGGCUCAACCUGGGAACUGCAUUUGUGACUGCAUGGCUAGAGUACGGUAGAGGGGGAUGGAAUUCCGCGUGUAGCAGUGAAAUGCGUAGAUAUGCGGAGGAACACCGAUGGCGAAGGCAAUCCCCUGGGCCUGCACUGAUGCUCAUGCACGAAAGCGUGGGGAGCAAACAGG
rnacentral:rRNA from 1 species